rnacentral:misc_RNA from 1 species
GGUGGUGGUGGUGGUGGUGGUGGGGGUGACUCAAAGCGGCCUCAAGGGCGUCGACUCUAGCUCCAACCUCGGUUGCUUUUUUCCUUAUCGAAGCGGCCGACAUGUCACCGCAUACUCCGCCGAUGCUUUCUCCCGCCAAAAACUCGGGGAAAUUAAGCCUCGCCGACGGUCCUCUCAAAUAGAAGACCGCCGUGUCAUAGGCCCGAGCCGCAGCCACGGGAGUUGAAUAUGAGCCGAGCCAAAUCCUCGAGCGCUUGUUGGGUUCUCUUAUCUCAGCCACCCAUUUGCCCCACUUCCUCAUCCUUAUCCCCUUGUACUGUCUGUCGCCGUCCACCGCUCCAUCUCCUCGCUUCCUCGUGGCCAUCGCCUUCUCCACUCCAUUUUCCAUCGCUUCAAAAAAAAAAAAA